rnacentral:rRNA from 1 species
AUGUACCCCGUAAGGAUGGAGGCAAGAUUAGGCAAACCUCUCCGACAAGGCCCCGGAACCACCACCGUCCCAGUUAAAGAGCACCGACAAUUUGGAGUGGACCCCACCGCCAUAGAGCCUCCUUUUGCACAGGAGGUAGUAGAACUCCGCCGAGGGCAACAAUUGUGGCCUCUUCCAGAGCCGGAGCGGCCCAUGGAGUCGAUGUCAUGGUCGCCCCAGAGCCGAAUCCAUCGCCGAGGCCAUAGAGUAGGAGCUGCUGUCGCCGAGGUCAUGUCUGAACCUAAACCUGAACUUUCUAUGGCUGGUAAGAUGUCUUCCCUAAAUCUUCCAGCAGCCGGUGAUCGUUGGCCUCUCGUCUCUAUUCAGCUGCUGAUUGUAUGA